UAAUAACCGGCCCAUGACGCAUUCUCCCCUCUAGAGAUCCUUCAGUGGACAUCAGAGAACACCAUAGGGGGAUGAAGCACAGAAAAGCUAGAGUGUGAGCUCCAGAAAUAUCGUACAAACUAAGGGACACCAAGGAGAAAAAGAUGAAGUCCAGACCUCUGAAAAGACCCACAUAUGCAAUCCAGGCAGGGGAGGGUUUGACCCAGAGCCUCUCUAAUCUCCAGCUGAAUUAUCCAGAAGAAAUAUGUCAGAGCGCUGCCUGUGUGUGUGUGCGCGCACAGGAAAAGAAGAGGGCAGAAACCACUCAUCCAUUACACUGACUCCGGUUCUCGCUGAGCUGCUCCGAUCAUUCCAAAACAUUACAUCACUGCACAGAGAGGGAACAUCGCUACUAUGGCCAGAGCGGCUGCCAAGGCGUCUGCACAGGACUGUACACUGGCUCCUUUGUGAUGUCCACAAUGUGUGUCCAAGGCAACCACUAGGUAGAGAGGACGGCCCAUAAGGGAACGUUUCUUGUCUUCCACGACAACACAUGGUAAUGUUGAACAUUCUUUCUCCGUCUGUACUGUUGCUGUGUCGAGUCACACCGACUGUUUGAAGAUGCUGCUGCUGAUGACGUCUUGCUGAAUGUGGAAGCGGUGUCAGGUUUGGGCCCUUGUUUUCGCCCCAGGAUCUUCCCUACAGGCCGUAGAGCAUCUAGAAGCCAUGUUUGAGAUGACAUUUUGGGAGUCACUCCUAAACUGGUGCUUUUCCUCCCUCCUCUUCAUGCCACAGAGCUGGUAUUCUGGGCUUCAGCGUGCCCUAUUGGCCUAGCCACAGCCCGGCAGCCUUUCAUUACACUAGCCGAAGGAGGUGCCCUGGACAUCCCCAUCGAAGACACCAUCACCACACCCCAAAGCGUGCCCAGCUCUGAGCUGUUCCCUGGAUACAUCAACAAGACAGAUGAGAAAACAACUGCUCUGUUUACACAUUGUUUAACUGGCAAUCGUCAAGAAGGGCUUGCAAUGGACUAUUCAUUCAUCCAGGGUGUUUUCCCGCCUAUAUGAGAUGCAGUGCUAGGCUCCGGCAUCCCUACAUAGAACAAGCGGUUUGGAAACUGUAUGUGUGGAUGUUAUGGCUGGAACUACACCGCCCCCUGCUGAUGAAAUAGAACUUCCAAUGGAGCUCCUUCCUUUCACAUUCUAAAGGUCAUCAAAAAUAUCUUAAUUCGACUUCCGAAGAUGAACAAAGGUCUUAUGGGUUUGGAACAACAUGAGGGGUCAGAGGGCUCUCGGAUUUCAUCAAAAAUAUCUUCAUUUGCGUUUCGAAGAUGAACAAAGGUCUUACGGGUUUGGAUCAACGUAAGGAGUCUCGGCAGAUUAAUCUGGUUGCUGAACUGAGCAUCAGCAGCUGCUCCUUAUCCUUAUCAUCGCCGCAACGACCGGCCAGCCGUUGCCUCCCACAGAAUCCUGCGGGGACCUGAAUUAAUACUCGGUAUAAUUCCACACAAUCCCAAGAAAAAAAUCUCAUCCUGCUGCCAGGCCACUUGACUUGUGUGUUCCAGCGGGCUCUGGAUGGCACCAGCAAUCUCUGUAAUCAGUCACUAAGCCCCUGCGCUGCUCAGUUCAACUGCUUCUUCAGAGCAUUUAAAAAAAAAGAGCAGAGUUGGGGUGCAUUGUGUGUCAAACAUGUAUGUUUAUCCUGUCCACUAAUUAAAAUGGGGUCGCUUAACAUGGCUUAUAUGUAGACACAUGAAUACACAUGCAAACAAACACACAUAUGCACCAUGCUCACUACGUACUAAAUUAAUUAUGGACACCGUGUCUUUAAAACCACUGAAAAAUUAAAUUCAUCCCUUACGAUAUAUCUUAUACUGUUAUAUACUGAUAUGCUGUUUUAACUUAAAUUUGGUAACACUUUAAAACAAGGUUCAUUAGUUAACAUUAGUUAACUACAUUAGUUAACGUGAACUACGAAUGAACAAUACUUCUACAGCAUUUAUUUAUAUAGUUAAUGUUAAUUUCAGCAUUUACUAAUGCAUUGUUAAAAUCACAAGUUGUAUUUGUUAACAUUAGUUAAAGCACUGUGAACUAACAAUAAUAAAUAAUAAAUAGUGUAAUAAAUUGUUCAUUGUUCGUUCAUGUUAGUUAAUACAUUAACUAAUGUUAACAAAUUACACCUUAUUGUAAAAUGUUACUGAAAAUGUAAUAUAGUAUAUGAUAAAAUUAAAAAAAUAAAAAUAUGUAUUAUAUAUAUAUAUAUAUAUAUAUAAUUAUUUAUUCUAACAGUCUUUUGUAAAGAAUUUUGCUUGUGCUUUCUUUCUCUAAAACAAAUGCCAUCUGGUUUGGUAAUGCAAGGAAAUUCAUGCACUUUUAUGUGGAUUAAUUACCCAAAUACAUUUUGAGGCUACUGUAUUAUUAUUGCAUAAUUCAUAAUCAUACAUAUAAAUAUACACAAUCCAUAUAGGUACCACGUAUAAAAUAAAGACUUUGUGGAUGAUUUUGAAACUAAGAUGAUUCUCUAAUUGUAUUAAACAAUUCAUGUCAAAGAAAGUAAAAAAAUAGAUUUUAAAAAUAUUACCUGGGCAUUAUUAUAUUAUUUGAAUUUAUAUUGUAAAAAAACAAGACAAUAUAUAACCCUGGACCACAAAACCAGUCUUAAGUAGCACGGUUAUAUUUGUAGCCAACAAUACAUGGAUUUUUCUUUUAUGCCAAAAUCAUUAGGUUAUUAAUUAAAAAUAUUUUUUUCCCACCAAAUAUUGUCCUAUAACAACAACAAACCAUACAUCAAUGGAAAGCUUCUUUAUUCUGCUUUCAUAUGAUGUAUAAAUAUCAAUAAAAAAAAAAAUUGAGCCUUGUGACUGGUUUUGUCAUCCAGGGUCACAUAUUAUUCUUUUAAAGACAACAUUAUGCUGGAAAGAGUGCCAGACAGUCUUACAAUGCUUUGUAAUGUCAAUGCAAGGAGAAAUAAAUAAUAUUAAGUAAAUAUUUAAUGACUAAUUCUCAUUAGAAAUGUUAAAAAAUGUUUUUUAGAAAUGUAUAAUUUCCAAUGACUAUACUCAACUAUACUAUACUAUAGCAGCAGUAAAAUAACGGAAAAACUACUGGCAGCUCAUUACAUGGGACAUUAUUCAUUAAUUUUGCAGACAUUUCGGUUAACUCUAAAACAUAAUGCAAGGCAGUGUAAAAUUCUAAAUACUGGUAAACACUUGUAAAAAAAUAAAUACAGGAAAAUUCCUUUAAAUUAUAAAGUAUGCAUUGUGCUGUAUUUUUACAUUUUUUUAAUCGAGUUUGUACGAUAUAUCAAUAUAUAUAAUGUACGAUAUAUAUAAGUGAUAUCUUAAAGAAUCUUAAAAAUAGAGUGCUCGCCAAACAGACAGAGAGCAAUACAGUAGUGCAAUAAUUCUGACUAAAACAUACAUUUUGCUAAAAUAUAUGUUGCUAAAAUAAUUGUGCCAUAUGUAGUUGUUUAAGUGUAUUUUUAUGAUAGCACAAACUAUAAAAGACUGUAAUUACAAUAGCCUAAUACAAAUAGUCUGUGCCUUUUUAUUUUCAUUUUCAUUUUUUGUUAUUUUUAUUUUUUAUUAUUAUUUUUAUUUUUUACAUAAAUAGUUUUUUUUGUAAUCCAAAUAGGAACUAUAAAAAAAUACAGAGUUAUAUAUCAAUUCAGCACAAAAAAUGGCUAAAGCUCACUGCAGUGUUUAUGUGCAUUAGACAGCAGGUGUAUAAUGUUAUACUGUAUGCGCAAGGCCAAACAGGCUAUAUAUCUGACCUAAAUGUAUAUGUCUCCUGGUCAGGAGGAAGUGAAAAUAAGAGUGUGGCUUUGUGUCUCGUCUCUCCGCUGCGACAUAAUCACAGCCCCAGAUUUAUGAGCAACCAGAUCCCUCCUGAGGCUUAGCGCUGUAAACAACUUGGAUCAGGCCACAGAUUUAAGAACAUGUACCACUUGCACUUGGUACUUUUGGUCAAAGAAGAUUAGACAUGACAAUUUUUAAUUUGUUUCAGAAUCCGUUUUAUAAGACGAUAAUGCCUCCAGUGUCUUUUUAUAGCAGAGGGGCUAUAAGAAGAACCCAAAUCAGGAUCGAGCAAUCAGAGAUGAGAACCAAAAGAGAUGAGGAUCAUGGGAAUCGCUGGCACUUUACAAAUUAAACUGGUGCAAAUUAAGAGUCCUGCAACAAUGCUGUUCCUGCUGGUGAGGCAUAUUAUUUAAAUAAAUAAAAUAUAAUAUUUAAAAUCGAAAUCUAUAUAAAUGAAUAAUAUAUCAUUAAUAUAUAAUAACAAUAUUUAAAAUGUAUACUGUAUACUAUAACAUUUAAUCUAAUGCAUAUUCAAGCAGAUAUAAACACUUUUUUGACGCUUUAGUCUAUCCUGAGAUGCCCAUGAUAACUUAUCUUGUAAACUUGAAUCUCUGAUCCAUGCAGACAGAAUUAUUUAGGCCUGGCAUGUAUUUAAACAUGGCAAAUCUCUCAGGGGCCUUUCCCAGCUUUGCCCUCUGUCUCAUAAACAUUUUCUUAUCCUGCGUGAGCAGGAGCUGACAUCCGAUGAGUUUUUCAUUAAUAAGACUGGACUUAAUCACGCUAUAAACAGGAAAAACACAAAACGACAAUGACAAUAAUAAUCAUAUUUCUGCACGGAUAAGGCAAGGAGAAUAAUCUUGCUGUGACACGAAUGUAAUCCCGGCUCUAGCACAUUGUCUGUGAGGAUCUAAAGCCCACAAAUGCGCCUAAACGCUGUGCAACAAUUAAACUCUGCUAAUGAGAAAAAAGUGUAUGUCAGCACCAUUCAAAUAUGAGUUUCAAUGGGUUUCAAAAUAAAUAGCGUUCUGUAUGCUUAAUUAGUCCCCUGCCUGAAUGAAAGGAAUGAUCUCUCUUUAACUGACCCACGUGACUACAUGUUAUGACGCCUGCAAGAAACAUAAUUCAGAUAUCAAAUAAAAGACCCCAAUCUGACAAAACAUCUCAUCGUGAGCCCUAAUAUCUGGGGUACUUCUGAAUAGCUGUUGUCAGGCAUGUUUUUGACCAGUGCCUGGCAACCAAAUGCAACUGAUGAGACGUUUAACCUUGCCAUCUUGCACCAGAAAUUGUGGGGCUGACAAAGACGUGACUACAGCUCCUGGGUAGAUUUCCAUUUUGGGUUAAAUUAGAAUGAUACAUGACUGUCAAAGAUGAAAAGGGGGUUUUAAGCAUCAGAACAAGUUUAAUACAGCAUUCAUUUUUGAUUGUUUGUUUGUUUUCCAUACAUUAUGUGUCUUGUUUAAUUUUAUUUUUUUCUGAGCAAAAAAUGAUUCUCAUACAUUUUUACAGUGAUGUACGGUAACAAUAGUUCUUAUAAAAUAUCUUUUCCAAACAUAUUUAGAACCUGAAUAUGACAUUAAGGAUCACAGCAGCCCUGCAAAACUAAUUAAGUGUCAUUUUAAAUCUUUGCAGAUCUUUGCUAUAGUUUUCUUCGAACCACAAGGUUUUACCCAUUUGUCAGGAAUACGUUUUUAAUAAUUUAAAAAAUAAUAAUAUUUAGUAUGAUCACUUUUCCUUUUAUAAUUUUAAAACAUACAGGUCAGAAUAAGGAUAUUGGCCAUUCUACAGAAUUGGUGCAAAUUGCUGUCCCUCAACCAAAAACACAUUUACUUAAAUCUUAGAUGUUUACCAAGAUCCUACUAUUAUAUUUUGAAACUAUAUAUUUAAAUAAUAUAUAAUAUAUUUAAAUAUUUAUAAUAUUUUUAAAUCAUCAUUCAUUGGGUACUUUCAAUUGGAAGGUGGCUGUCUUGAAAACCUUAACCCCUGAA